rnacentral:rRNA from 1 species
AUUGAACGCUGGCGGCAGGCCUAACACAUGCAAGUCGAACGGUAACAGGAAGCAGCUUGCUGCUUUGCUGACGAGUGGCGGACGGGUGAGUAAUGUCUGGGAAACUGCCCGAUGGAGGGGGAUAACUACUGGAAACGGUAGCUAAUACCGCAUAACGUCGCAAGACCAAAGAGGGGGACCUUAGGGCCUCUUGCCAUCGGAUGUGCCCAGAUGGGAUUAGCUAGUAGGUGGGGUAACGGCUCACCUAGGCGACGAUCCCUAGCUGGUCUGAGAGGAUGACCAGCCACACGGGAACUGAGACACGGUCCAGACUCCUACGGGAGGCAGCAGUGGGGAAUAUUGCACAAUGGGCGGAAGCCUGAUGCAGCCAUGCCGCGUGUAUGAAGAAGGCCUUCGGGUUGUAAAGUACUUUCAGCGGGGAGGAAGGGAGUAAAGUUAAUACCUUUGCUCAUUGACGUUACCCGCAGAAGAAGCACCGGCUAACUCCGUG